UACGUAGGGUGCAAGCGUUGUCCGGAAUUAUUGGGCGUAAAGAGCUCGUAGGCGGUCUGUCGCGUCUGCUGUGAAAACUCAGGGCUUAACCCUGAGCUUGCAGUGGGUACGGGCAGACUAGAGUGCGGUAGGGGAGACUGGAAUUCCGUGGUGAUAGCGGUGAAAUGCGCAGAUAUCAGGAGGAACACCGAUGGCGAAGGCAGGUCUCUGGGCCACUACUGACGCUGGAG
rnacentral:rRNA from 1 species